AGUGGUACAGUUUAAGGUCGAAAAAGUAAAAGUGGUACAGUUUUAGGUAAAAAAAGUUAAAAUGGUACAGUUUUAGGUAAAAAAAAGUAAAAGUGGUACAGUUUAAGGUAAUAACAUAAAAGUGGUACAGUUUAAGGUAAUAACAUAAAAGUGGUACAGUUUAAGGUAAUAACAUAAAAGUGGUACAGGUUAAGGUAAAAAAAGUUAAAGUGGUACAGUUUUAGGUAAAAAAAAAAAAGUAAAAGUGGUACAGUUUUAGGUAAAAAAAGUUAAAAUGGUACAGUUUUAGGUAAAAAAAAGUAAAAGUGGUACAGUUUAAGGUAAUAACAUAAAAGUGGUACAGUUUAAGGUAAUAACAUAAAAGUGGUACAGUUUAAGGUAAAAAAGUAAAAGUGGUACAGUUUAAGGUAAAACAGUUAAUGUGGUACAGUUUUAGUACAAACAAGUCUUGUAUACGAAACAAGUAGAAAUUUUAUUUUUCAUCUACUUUGAAUUUGACUGUUUUCUUAAUAUUUGUGUAAAUGAGAGAUUUCAAAAGCAUGAUCAACAGAUUUUACAUAAGUCUUACUUUUUUCCACUUUAUGAGGGUUGAAGGGAUUGAAAUUGAACCUUAACAUCGAAAUGACUGUGUCCAGUAUUUUGCUAUGUCUAGUGCUAUAGUGUGUCUACAGUAGAUUUUAUAAACAUUUCUGGUGCCUUCAUUUUAUUAUGA